rnacentral:lncRNA from 1 species
AUGAGAAAACUGAGGUUCCUGUCACAGGACUCAAACCUUAUUCCAACCAGUAAGCUGCCUCUUACUCCAUGACACACGGAUGCCUCUGGACAAAGCUGACCAUAGAAGGGCCUUCCAGAAUUGAUCUUGCAGCCUGCCUCCUUGGCCUACAGGGCUUUGCCCUGGAGACAUCAAUAAGAGACUCAGUUUACUUCUGUCCAGAAACCAGCAGGGCCUCCUUGCCCUCAGGCCAAGGAUUUACCUACCACUCUUCUCUGAAUCAGAGGUCUUCUGCAUGGCUGGCAUUCACCAAAGACAAGGCAGCAGCUGGAGAUCAGAGUUUAUACCCCAGGGCAGCGGUCCCCAACCUUUUGGCACCAGGGACUGAUUUCGUGGAAGACAGUUUUUCCACAAACCAUCAUGAACGUCAUCAUGUUGGGAGCCCUAGCAGAGGGACAGAUUAAGGAGCUGGGUUCAAGCCAGGUGCAAGCAAGCAAGCGAGGGCUGUAGUUUGAGCUGGAAGAUUGGGAGGGGUUUGCUUCAGGCUGAUGAGCAGCCCCACCCUUAAAAGAAAAAAAAAAAAACCCAGAUAGGAACUCUGGGUCUGCUCCUUGCUUGGGAUGUAAGUCUCUCCUCUCUCUCUUUGGGAACAAGGGCCAAGAGGACAAAUCGAUGAGCUUGAAAAGUGAGAGCAGGUCAAUGAUGUGAGGCCCUGUCUGCCUUCCUCGAGGGGCAGGCGGCAGUUGUGGGGCCUCACAGCCCACUACCGUCCGCCUGGAGAAUUGUGAACUCACGGGUGGUGG